rnacentral:lncRNA from 1 species
UAAUUUCCUGUUAUUAUGUUUUUGUUCAUGAUUCUUGUACAAUGUUUUAACAUUUGAAUUUUGCAGGAUAAAUUACCAUCUUGGAGUUGUUGGAUGAUCAACAUGUAGAUAUACUUCGCCAGUCCUUUCUUUGGCCCUUACACCAAUUGAGAGAUGUGCAGUACUCAGGUUAGAUUAUCGAUACAUUGCUAAGUCGAUUGUUGAGUCCAGUUGACGGCGACGCCCUCCACUUUGACCUGGGGGGUAAAGUCGCCAGAUUCUCUAUGUUCGAUUUUGUCAUAAUUACUAGAUUGAAGAUUACGGGCGAUGAACAGCUCAAAGAAGCAACAGGCUAUACGACACGUACUUCCAGGGACAAGGGACAGUGCUUCUGGUCUGGUCUACAUUAUCAGGAGGAAUUAGAGGACGGUCCACUCGAUUCAGCCCUAGAGGUCCCACCCCGCUAGUGUCUUUGACGGGAUAAAGCAAUCAAAUCCUCAUUUUAUAAAUGUAUUUUCAUCUUCAUUAUCGUUGUCAUGAACUACGGAGGGAAUUCUGUGUGCAACUAUCUCUGGAAUAACCAUAUCAUUUUCACGAGCUAUUUCCACCGUAUUCCAAAAUUCAUUGGUAUUGUGACCCCCUCUGUCUGAGUCUACGUGUUCACAUUCGACGACAUCCUUCCUCACUAAAGUCACGCAAAGAGGAGCCGUGUGCUUAUUUUUCAAUUUAAACAGAUAAUUCACUUCAACAUCAGAAGAAAUCCCUAUAAGUGGAAUCGAAAUGGAUGCAUGCUUGUUGAAUUUAAAUUUCAAUUCCCC